UACAGAGGUCUCAAGCGUUUGUUCGGAUUCAUUGGGCGUAAAGGGUGCGUAGGUGGCGCUGUAAGUCGGGUGUGAAAUUUCGGAGCUUAACUCCGAAACUGCAUUCGAUACUGCCGUGCUUGAGGACUGGAGAGGAGACUGGAAUUCACGGUGUAGCAGUGAAAUGCGUAGAUAUCGUGAGGAAGACCAGUGGCGAAGGCGGAUCUCUGGACAGUUCCUGACGCUGAGGCACGAAGGUCAGGGGAGCAAACGGG
rnacentral:rRNA from 1 species